rnacentral:rRNA from 1 species
AGAGUUUGAUCCUGGCUCAGAACGAACGCUGGCGGCAGGCCUAACACAUGCAAGUCGAACGGAUGUAGCAAUACAUUAGUGGCGCACGGGAGAGUAACGCGUGGGAACCUACCUUUUGGUUCGGAAUAACGUCGGGAAACUGACGCUAAUACCGGAUAAGCCCUUCGGGGGAAAGAUUUAUCGCCGAUAGAUGGGCCCGCGUUAGAUUAGCUAGUUGGUGAGGUAAUGGCUCACCAAGGCUUCGAUCUAUAACUGGUCUGAGAGGAUGACCAGUCUCACUGGGACUGAGACACGGCCCAGACUCCUACGGGAGGCAGCAGUGGGGAAUAUUGGACAAUGGGGGAAACCCUGAUCCAGCCAUGCCGCGUGAAUGAUGAAGGCCUUCGGGUUGUAAAGUUCUUUUGGUGGGGACGAUAAUGACGGUACCCACAGAAUAAGCUCCGGCUAACUUCGUGCCAGCAGCCGCGGUAAUACGAAGGGGGCUAGCGUUGUUCGGAAUUACUGGGCGUAAAGGGCGCGUAGGCGGUAUAAUAAGUCAGGUGUGAAAGCCCUGGGCUCAACCCAGGAACUGCGCUUGAUACUAUUAUUCUUGAAUUCGGGAGAGGUGAGUGGAAUUCCCAGUGUAGAGGUGAAAUUCGUAGAUAUUGGGAGGAACACCGGUGGCGAAGGCGGCUCACUGGACCGACAUUGACGCUGAGGCGCGAAAGCGUGGGUAGCAAACAGGAUUAGAUACCCUGGUAGUCG